rnacentral:lncRNA from 1 species
UAUUACGAAAAGAUCGCACAUUUCCAACCCAAUUGCCUUCGGGAUUUAGCCCGGAUGUAACAACCAGCACAAAUGCCUUCGGGACUUAACCCGGAAAUAGCGACCAGCACGAAUGCCUUCGGGGCUUAACCCAAAAAUAACAACCAACACGAAUGCCUUCGGGACUUAACCCAAAAAUAACAACCAGCACGAAUACCUUCGGGACUUAACCCGGAAAUAGCAACCAGCACGAAUGCCUUCGGGACUUAACCCGGAUAUAAUCCUCAAUUGUCAUGCACAAAAUAUAUUUAUAUUAUAAAUCAUUAACAAUUCAUUUACAUUAUUAGAUCACAAACACAACAUGAUUAUCCAUCAUUCAUUUUUGGCUCAACAGCUCAUACAAAUGACACGAUUCUGUUUCGCUACUCUACAUGAGUUUCUAUAACCAUUCGAUUACAAGCCGAUGCACUACCCAUUUAUUUCAAUAUGUAAAUCAAGAGAAACCAUCAGGUCACAAUUUAUUUAUUGUGCUAUAUAUAUAAAUAUAUAACAUUGUUUAAUCAAAUCAUAAGCUAAGUUCCAUUACUCAAAGACUUACCUCGGAUUUAUUUGAACAACUGCGGAUAGGCUACUCGAUUGCUUUCUCUUUUCCCUUAUUCGAAAUUGCCCCCCUAUGCUCUUGAGCUUUAAUUCAACAAAUUUUAAACUAAACAUUAAUCGACUAUUCAAAUAUUAUUUUCAGAAUAUAAUACAUAUAUAUUCGACUUUCACACAUAAAGAUUAUAGUAAGCUUAUAAGAAAACAUUAAGCAACUCCUUAAAAAAAUUUUAUUAAUGAUUACCUCAUAAUCACAAAUUCACAAUAAGCUGUCUUCUUGAGCAAUAGUCACUAAAUUAUUUAUAACUGGAGCUACGAAACUCCAAAUAAAUUCCCAUAAAAUUUCCCUGAAAAUAGACUCUUAUAUCUUUUAUCCAUAAAAUUUUCAGAAUUUUUAGUUUGGCCAAUCAAUACCAUAUUUUUCUUAAAGUUUCCCUUGUUUCAGUGUUUGACUAAUCUGACCACUAUUUACUACGAAAUAAAUUUCUCAUUGUACAGAAUACAAAACAUGUCCUUGUUUAUUUCAUUUGAAACUAGACUCAUUAAGGAGUCUAAGCAUAUAAAUUUCAUCAUUUGAAUAUUUUUAUACGUUUUAUAGUGAUUUUAUAAAAACAGAACAGGGGAUCUAGAAGUCAUUUUGACCCUAUCCCACAUUACUUCAAUUAUCUCAUUAUCGGCAUUCUUUUGCUUUAAUAGUUUAUUUUAUAAGAAACUAGACUCAUCAAGCUUUAAUUACAUAAUUUAUUCAGCUUCUAACUCAACUCCCACAAUUUAUAGUGAUUUUUCCAAAAUCACUUUACUGCUGCUGUCCUAAAGAGAUUAUUGCUAAUUCACUCUUUCACACAUUCUUUGUAUACAUAUUAUUUAAUUAUUUAUCACCCUAGAUAUUAUUAGCUAAAUAGAUCAAUUGUACAUAUAUACCGCCAAGACCGUACCUAAUAAUUUUACUUAUACAUAACAUUACUCAAAUUCUUCGAAAUCAUACUAACAAAAAUAUCAUGUACUAUGCCGAACCUUUAGGGAAUCAAGCACCUAAUUUAUCCAUUUCAAAACACCUAAUCGGCAUUUGUUCAAGACAUUAAGCAAAGUCUAGGUUCGGCUAUUACACAUAUGAGUAUUAGAAAUUAUACUUUUUAACAAGAUCAACUUCUUUCAUCAACAAUUUCUUCAUCAAAACUUAAAGAUAAAAAACAAAUUCCUUCCUUAUCUACCAUAACCGAAUGUUCAAUUCAACCAUCCAAAUUCAAAGUUUUGGCAUGGGCUAAGUGAGUAGCAUGAUGAGUAACCUAAAACAAACUAGAAUUUCAAAAAAUCUAACUUGAUUUACUAACCUUCCUUAGGUUUCAAAUGGCUGAAUGUUUGCUCCCCUUUUUCUCCCUUUUGGUUCGGCUAAGAAGAACAAAGUUAAGACUUUGUUUUCUUCCCAUUCUUUCUAUUAUUAUUUUCAUUUUAUUCAUCUAUACUAUAAAAUAUUAAGCCAUUAACUAAUAAUUAAUACAUAUUUUUAUCUAUCACUUCAUCAUGGCCGGCCACUACUUGUCAAAAAUGGAUAUUUGACAUGCAAACCCAUCCUUUUUCUAACAUGCAUUAUUACACCACUUUGAGAUUAAC